rfam:Chlorocebus sabaeus isolate 1994-021 chromosome 17, whole genome shotgun sequence.
ACCGGGCGCAGUGGCUCACGCCUGUAAUCCCAGCACUUUGAGAGGCCAAGGUGGGUGGAUCAAAAGAUCAGGAGUUCGAGACCAGCCUGACCAACAUUGUGAACCCCCUUCUCUACUAAAAAUACAAAAAUUAACAGGGCAUGGUNNNNNNNNNNACCAUGCCCUGUUAAUUUUUGUAUUUUUAGUAGAGAAGGGGGUUCACAAUGUUGGUCAGGCUGGUCUCGAACUCCUGAUCUUUUGAUCCACCCACCUUGGC